AACGAACGCUGGCGGCAGGCUUAACACAUGCAAGUCGAACGCCCCGCAAGGGGAGUGGCAGACGGGUGAGUAACGCGUGGGAACGUGCCCUUCGCUUCGGAAUAGCCCCGGGAAACUGGGAGUAAUACCGGAUACGCCGUAUUGGGAAAGAUUUAUCGGCGAAGGAUCGGCCCGCGUUGGAUUAGCUAGUUGGAGGUGUAAUGGACCCCCAAGGCUACGAUCCAUAGCUGGUCUGAGAGGAUGAUCAGCCACACUGGGACUGAGACACGGCCCAGACUCCUACGGGAGGCGGCAGUGGGGAAUCUUGGACAAUGGGCGCAAGCCUGAUCCAGCCAUGCCGCGUGAGUGAAGAAGGCCUUAGGGUUGUAAAACUCUUUCGCCGGAGAAGAUAAUGACGGUAUCCGGAGAAGAAGCCCCGGCUAACUUCGUGCCAGCCGCCGCCGUAAGAC
rnacentral:rRNA from 1 species